rnacentral:lncRNA from 1 species
UUCUGCAGCUUCACACUACAAAAGAGUGAUAUCGAAGACUAGGUUAGAGAAAACCUUAAAAAAGAAUGCUUGCAUAAGGAUUUUAAACGGGGGAAAGAAAACAGGAGAGAUUUUUAGUGACUUUUUAAAUAAUUGGGUUAUGAUGGAUUCACUCCUGUAAUUACAGCGGAUGGUGUGGGCACGGAAAAAAAAAUAGAAAAGAAAAAGAAAACGUAGAGUAAAAUACAACAGCGAGUAAGGAAUUUCCUUUCACCAAAUUGUCUCCGGUCCCUUAAUGGUCUGUAAAUCUUGCUGAGUACUUUGUGUACGGUCCCUAGCAUGGUGAUUUGCAUCCCACUGUCGGCCUCGCUGUUGGCCGCCGCUUGCUGCUGUCUCAGUCCACUUCUGGCUGAGAAAGAGGCAAUCCCUGGUCUGUCCUUUUACUAAUGCCCAGUGGGUGACAGGCUCUUUCCCAGAAGUUGAACAGAGCUACGCUGGCCGAUCCCUCUCUCCGAAGUCAAGUGACCUCUCUGGUAAUGGACUGCCUUUCUGUGAGCUUGCAUCCUGACCAGGCUUUCCAAAUCUAGCCUGUGAAGUGAGAUAAGAAAAA